UACAUAGGGGGCAAGCGUUGUUCGGAAUUACUGGGCGUAAAGGGCGCGUAGGCGGUCUGUUAAGUCGGACGUGAAAUCCCCAGGCUCAACCUGGGAACUGCGUCCGAUACUGGCAGGCUUGAAUCCGGGAGAGGGAUGUGGAAUUCCAGGUGUAGCGGUGAAAUGCGUAGAUAUCUGGAGGAACACCGGUGGCGAAGGCGGCACCCUGGACCGGUAUUGACGCUGAGGCGCGAAAGCCUGGGGAGCAAACGGG
rnacentral:rRNA from 1 species